GGUUGGAGGUGAUAGUAGUUUAGAGCCAACAGUAGCUUUGAGGCAACAGUAAAUAAACAUUGUUCAAAUCUCAUAAAUCCAUUAAAGAAGAUGCAAAACAAGUUAAACAUAAAACACAUAGGGUAUUGAAUGGACCCCGCACAAGACAGGAUAAAACAAUUAAAAAGUGAAGUUAGUGAGUAGGUUGAGUAUUUAAAACGUUCUUUUAUAAAAUAUUCAAAAGUAGUUUAUUCUUUACAAAAGUUAAAUACGUCAAACUGAAGUUGCAAUAUCACUGUACACUACCUAUAGAGAUCUCUAUUAAUUAUGUUAAUGGAAAACAAACUCGCAGAUUUUGCCACACUUUUUGACUGGCGAGCAAAUUAUAAUCAUGUAUGAAAGUUAUUCACAUUGUAUAUAACAAUGAUUUUUUGCAAAGGAGAACUAAACUAUAUAUUGUACAAUGUUUAUAAAUAUUAAUAUAUUAUAUGUUUUGAAAAGUGUCAUAUAUUUAAAUCGUAUACAUAUAUGAUUGUCGACUGUUCUAUCACAACUUACAAAAUGCAAACACGUAUAUAAACUAAGUAGCUUAAAUAAAGACUACAAUAAAUAUAACAUAAUUUAUA
rnacentral:lncRNA from 1 species